rnacentral:lncRNA from 1 species
GAUGUAAGGAGGAGCUCCGGGGGUAGCAAGCAUGGUUAAGCAGAGGAGGAGUCAGCGGAGCAGUUAAUUCCAUCCCUGACAACAUGUCUGCAAAGGUUCCAUGAGCUUUGCAUAAGGCCAGGAGUUCACCUAGAUGACUUUGACAGAACUUUCUGGUUCCAAGAUUCUGCCUUCAUUCCUCGUCUGUAUUUCAAUUGGUGGCCCUUACAGUCUACUUUAAGAUGCAAAUGGUUUGCAAAAGUUAACUCAAUGGUGGUGUUAAAAAAAAUAGAUAACUAGAAGAGUUAUAGAAUAUAGUGACUACAAACACUGGGCUUCUGAAUCAGUCAGACAAGAGGAGUCCGGUCUCAACUGUGUGUUCAUUUUCUGACCUCAGUAGGACAUGUGGCUAAAACCUUCACUUCAACUAUGAAAUCUUCAGAAAUGGUAUUUAAAGCUGUGGUCUUCUCCAGUUUGCUGCUAAAUAUAUGUGAGUAACCAAGUGACCAUUUGGGGAAGACUCACAUGUGAGGAAACUGAAGGAGGCCUCUGGCUGGCAGCCAGCAAGAAAUGGAGGUCCUCAGUGCAACAAGCUGCUGGGAACUGAAUGUUGCUGAUGACUAUGUGAGCUUGGAAAAGGAAAUCCUUCCCCAGUCAAGCUCAGAUGAGACUGCAGCCCUAGCUAACACACUGAUUGCAGCUUUGUGGGAACCUGAAGUAGAGGACUCUGCUAAGGCAGCAUUCUUAACCCACAGAAACCAUAGAAUGUUGUUGAAUAUCAUCAUGAAUAUCUGUCCUCACAUCUUGCAUACCGAAUGCCUUUGAUGAUGCCAUGACAUGACUUUUUCUUUGUUUUCUGCCUGCUUAUGUAGCAAGUUAGCUCCCCUCCCCCAUUGCGGGACACUCUUUUGUGUUUGCUUCAUCCUCUCCAUGAAGAUGCUGCCAUCACCUGAAGGCCGGAGGAUAUGUUCUUGUAUAGUGGCCUCUACUGCUUAGCCAUUUGCACUGAGCUUAGAAACAGGGGCCAUCAAGCCCUGCUGUGAAUCUAACCUUUCUGCUGUAUAAUGCUUACGGUGUUGGAAAUGAUAACGUUCAACUAAGAUAUUUUCAUUAGGUGUCUUUUGUUCAACCACUGAAAGGAAAAUAGUGCAAGAAAAAAAAAGAAAAAAACUUCUUUUCCAUUUAGACUUAUUAAAUAUUC